CUGGCGGCGCGCUUACACAUGCAAGUCGAGCGAGAAAGUGGAGCAAUCCAUGAGUACAGCGGCGUACGGGUGAGUAACACGUGGGUAAUCUACCUCUUAGUGGGGAAUAACCCUGGGAAACCGGGGCUAAUACCGCAUAAGCCUGCAAAGGGAAAGCAGCAAUGCGCUAACAGAGGAGCCCGCGGCCGAUUAGCUAGUUGGUGGGGUAAUGGCCUACCAAGGCGACGAUCGGUAGCCGGCCUGAGAGGGCACACGGCCACACUGGCACUGAAACACGGGCCAGACUCCUACGGGAGGCAGCAGUGGGGAAUCUUGCACAAUGGAGGAAACUCUGAUGCAGCGACGCCGCGUGAGCGAUGAAGCCCUUCGGGGUGUAAAGCUCUUUCGGCAGGGACGAUAAUGACGGUACCUGAAGAAGAAGCUGCGGCUAACUACGUGCCAGCAGCCGCGGUAAUACGUAGGCAGCGAGCGUUGUUCGGAAUUACUGGGCGUAAAGAGUGUGUAGGCGGUGCUCUAAGUUCGGUGUGAAAUCUCCCGGCUCAACUGGGAGGGUGCGCCGGAAACUGGAGUG
rnacentral:rRNA from 1 species